ensembl:snRNA U6 U6 spliceosomal RNA
GUGCUCGCUUCGACAGCACAUAUACUAAAAUUGGAACAAUACAGAGAAGCUUAAUACAUGGCCCCUGCAAAAAGAUGACAUGCAAAUUUGUGAUACAUAUAUUU